rnacentral:rRNA from 1 species
GACGGAGGGUGCAAGCGUUGUUCGGAUUUACUGGGCGUAAAGGGCGUGUAGGCGGUCGGUCAAGUCUGGUGUGAAAGCCCGGGGCUCAGCUCCGGAAGUGCAUCGGAAACUAGCUGACUGGAGCGCGAUAGAGGAGGGCGGAAUUCCUGGUGUAGCGGUGAAAUGCGCAGAUAUCAGGAGGAACACCGGUGGCGAAGGCGGGUCUCUGGGCCGAUACUGACGCUGAGACGCGAAAGCGUGGGGAGCGAACAGG